rnacentral:rRNA from 1 species
GAUGAACGCUAGCGGGAGGCUUAAUACAUGCAAGUCGAGGGAGAAAUUGUUUUUCGGAAUAAUGGAAACCGGCGCACGGGUGAGUAACGCGUACACUACCUACCUUAUACUGGGGAAUAGCCUCUGGAAACGGAGAGUAAUACCCCAUGGUUCACACCUUGUGUGUGAUAAAGCUACGGCGGUAUAAGAUGGGUGUGCGUCUGAUUAGCUUGUUGGUGAGGUAAUGGCUCACCAAGGCGACGAUCAGUAGGGGGCGUGAGAGCGUGAUCCCCCACACGGGUACUGAGACACGGACCCGACUCCUACGGGAGGCAGCAGUAAGGAAUAUUGGACAAUGGGCGAAAGCCUGAUCCAGCCAUCCCGCGUGAAGGAUGAAUGCCCUAUGGGUUGUAAACUUCUUUUGCUUGGAAAGAAACGCCUGGAUUUAUCCGGGCCUGACGGUACCUUGCGAAUAAGCACCGGCUAACUCCG